CUGUCAAUCAGCCAACAAUUCUUUUCAUAUAAUCUCAUUAUCAGCAGCAACUCUCUCCAUUCUGCACUAAUAACCCACGUGAAAGAGGAACUCCAUUCAUUGCUAUUCUGCCUGCCAAACUUUAGAGUGUAUCUAUCCACUGAUUCAAUAUCAAUAACAGCAGCCACCAACACCAAAUAUUUGCAGGUCAAGCGCGAGAGUAAGAACUACACAAGGAGUUAGAGUACCUUAGCAAAACUUUGCUAUCAGGUUGAGCUGUGAUGGGCGAUGAAGUGUUGUUGCUGAGUAGAGUUUUUGUCGAACUUAAAGUAGGCUCAGAAAGGAUACAUGUCUUCAUACAUGUAUCUCAGUUACGCAUUCCGCUGUAAACACUGAUUAUUUCAGUUACACCUUCCGUUGCAAACUCUGAUAAUGAUUUAGCCAAGCCCCUAACGAUGCCUUUUUCCUUUUAAGGAAUAUUUCACGCGUAUUCAAGCUCUUUGAGUAUUCUUUUAUGCGCCCCUUUCUAAACCCGCUUCGUAAUUUCCCUUCCCCAGUCAUGGUUUUCCCGGAUUAAUUAUCCUUAAUUAAGGCCGGUCGUGACAGAGUGGUAUCAGAGCAGUUCGUUUGCUCUGAGCCUAAGAGUUUAUUUAAGCCAAACUUAGAAUGAAUUACUAAAGUGUCUAGAGUUCCAUUGACAAAACUCAGCACUUCAUCGCAUCACACUCAACGAAGCAGAAUGGUAAGCUCUUCCAAGGUUUGAGUUAAUGUUUACAAAAAGUGAAAAUUAUCGUAAUAGCAAAGUGAGUAACUGUUAAUAACUAUGUUAUGUUGUUAUUGAAUGAAAUGAUUUACGCAAGCGCGAUUAAGUAUGCCUAUGGAAUGAAUCCCUAUGAACAUAGAGCUAUUAAGAUAUGAGAUCACCACUACGACAGAACAUAGAAGCAAACAUAGAAAAAAAAAAUAGAU